rnacentral:lncRNA from 1 species
AAGGGCUCGCUAUUUUAGUUUAGUGAACAAUCGCUCGUUAGAUUUAACACGGAAGAGGGAGAAAAUAGUGAGUCCACAAAACUUUAAAUAAUGUACUUGUGUUUCUCCCUUAAUCUCUAUGCUCGGCCCCUUCGGUAGUCCGAUUAGAUGGUGGAGCGAUGAGAGCUAAUGACAAGUAAAACCAGAUGAAGAAUCAUCAAGCUAGAUCCAUUGACUUGAGCAUUGUACUUGAAGCCACUAUUCUAAAAUUCCUCGCCUAGUGCCGC